GAACGAACCAGCGCCCCACUCACCCCGCCUGACUCCUCCCCUCCUCUCUCUCGCCUUAAUUCCGCUCUGAACGGAUUCCUCACACCCUCCCUAACUCCUAACCUUCCGUUACCCGCGCUAGAACGCCGCCCUAAUGGCCAUUAGAACACCGGAAACAGCCGCCAUGAAGAAGCCAUAAUUCCGGCGACGCCCUGCAACGUUCCGACCUCCCCUGCAUCCUAUAAAAGGCCCCCUCCCCUCAUAACUCUCUCCUUGCCCGAACCCCUCUCCUUCGGGAGCUUAUACCCCUACCCAUCGUCGUGAAUUGCUCAGCGGAGUUGCCUGACACUGCUGCUGUUCGUGGAAGGUUCCGGCGAGUUCGAGCCGGAGCACGAGUUCUUCGUUGUCUGAUUUCGGCCGGAGUUGCGCCCAACUCCGGCGACAUCUAGCAGCCACCUAAAGGCGAACCAGGAGCCGACUUCGUGUCCUGGAGACUCACCCCGACUUCCUCUCCCUCGUCCACUUCUCUACCAUUCCCGGAGAUCGCCGCGUCGCUUCACGUCCGAGCCACCGUCACCGGCCAUCUCCAUCUCCGGAUAUUCACAGUUUUCUCAUCCCACAACCGACUACAUCUUCUUCAUCAUCACUAACUGUGGCUCCACAACCAUCAUUAGUAUUUUCAGCAAGGAAAACUCCUUCACAGUGUACCUUCAAAGUUCCUCUUUCAGAUCUCGACAGAUUAAGAGACGAUAGGGUUAUGGUCUACACUCAACGAGCCGAGUGGCGUUGAUGGAGCCUUAACUUAACGACUACGUAUUAUUCCGCUGUAUUAUGUGCCAGCAUUGAGCUGUGCCAAUGGUAUGUAUUUGUUUAAUUCUGGAUGUACCAUUGUAGUAAAAUGAUGUAUGUUAUACUGAUAU